rnacentral:lncRNA from 1 species
UUCAAGUGGGGACUCUCUCCCCCCGGUGACCGUUCAAAAAAAAUUCUAUGUCUUGAAACCAAAUAAGAACCAUACCAAAAAUAUUUAUGAAUUAGUACAACUAAUUGGACUACUUUUGUAUGAGACUGUAAUCAAGAAUGACGAUGGUAGGUGAUCUCAUAUUAUAUUAUAUUCGACUAAUAAAAUAAACAACAUGAACCCUCUCCUGGAGCGGGGGAUGGAAAGACACACGGCCUAGAGGAACUAUAUAAACAACAUGAACCCUCUCCUGCAUCCAUAGCUCUCGUGGCCGCCAUCUCUCACUGCAGUAAUCUCGCUCAUCCUCUUUUCUUUUUUUGGUAGCUGCCCACAGCCACAACACAAUAAAAACUAUCCUUGGGCUAAUGAAAAUAUAAGUGAAUACUGAAUCUUCUCAAUAGUAGAAGAGAGUUCAGUUAUCACCUCAGCUCACCUAGGAAGCAAUAACUUCCAUUUCCAAAAGAAAAAUGACCAGGAAAUGUAAGCCGCUAUUGGUUAGGUACAUGCAAAUGAUUAAUUAUUCAAGACUACUUUGGAAACAAUGCUCUGAGCAAUUAACAGUAAUAAACAGAGAACAAAAAGGAGCAAAACAAAGACAGGUUUUUUAGCUAAAAAAAGGAACCACCAAAUGCAGCGAUAGCAUGUGUGCAUUUUUCUCCAAAUUGCACAUGAGCUUUGACUAUAGGGAAGAGACAAAACUUCCCACGAACAAACGAAUGUCCACAAUAGCUGCAAGUUGCAUCUACUAUCAAAGGAACACUUCGCAUAUCUCAAAUAAAUAGUUAUGAUAACCGUGAUCUCAGGAAGAGUAGGAAGAUGCAUCUUAUACUCUAGAGUUCAGAUAUAUCAAAAAUUCAUUUCAUCAGACCUCUUUGGAGUUAAACUGUUAAAGGGCACUGUUAAACUAAACAGUCGUUCUUAUCCUGUAACAUGCUACUACUUGCACCCCUCUUACUCCUGACACUAUGAACUCCAGUUCAUGUGGCGUACUUUAUGCAUAUACAAACGAUGUAUAAAGCCUGAACAUGGCAAAAACAAUCAAGGGAUUUCCUGAAUAUAUGAUGCUGCAGUAAACCUAUUUUUCUAACUGAAAUUAAACCUACCACUUCCUGCUCACGGAUUUUAGUUCAUUUAUAAACUCUGCAUUCUACUCAUACAAGCAUACCACAUCUAAUAUUCUGCUAUAACCCAGAUUAUUGUUACCUUUCUAAACGCAUAAUUAUUAUCAGUUUAUAAUGGAAAUAAAGUACCCUAAUGCAUCCCCUAUUAAGUGACAUUACGAACUGCAGUGUAUGUGUGUACUUCUAUGCUUAUACACAUGCUAUGAAGCAUGGAACCUGACAAGAUAAAUGCAAAGGAUGCCCAACAGAACUCUUGCUCCAUGACCUUAUUUCUAUUGUGGUUGCAGACUUGGGAGUCCCACUUUGCUGAACCUUUUGUACAUGCUGAUAAAGAAAGAGACAUCAUAACAAUUUAACAAAUAAUCUGUGCAAACACUACCUGGGCACUAUGCAAAGAGACAAAACAAAAAAACAUUAACCAAUUGCCUAGGUGUGCCAACUUGCAGUGUUAUCCUGCAUAUGUCAAUCUCUCUUCUUCUUUUUUGAGAAAGCAUAUGAUAAUCUCAUGUGUUCUAAUUUAGCCAAUACAUGCUAUGUGUGUCAACUUGUAGUGUUAUCCUGCAUAUGCCAAUCUCAUACUACGUUCUAAUUUAGCCAAUACAUGCCAAAGCAUUUCAGUCUCACUUGUUUUAGUUUUGCAUAAAGCAGGCAACUAACACAAUAUUGGCCACCGUCUCUCUCGCUGUAGUAGUCUCGCUUAUCGUCUUCUCUUUUUUCGACAGCUGUCCAUAGCCACAACAACACAAAGAAAACUAUCCUUGAGCUUAUGUGAAUAUAAGCGAAUACUGAAUCUGUUCUACAGUAUAACCUCAGCUGACCUGGGAAGCAACAACAACUCCCAUUUCCAAAAGAAAGAUGACAGGAAACUGAAGCCACUAAUGGUUAGAUAAAUACCUGCAAAUGAUUAAUUGUUCAAGACUACUUUGAGAACAAUCACUCUGAGCAAUUAACAAUAAUAAAAGUCACCAACUUAAUUCUCUAGAAGAAGAACAAACCCGUGCAUACACAUAUCAAUGAGCAAAGAAUGUUCAGCCAUGGCGUAGAUACACGCAGAAAGAAACAAAACCAAGAUAAGAAUAUGAAGGUAAAGAGACCGCAAUGUCACCGUUUGUCACAUGUGUCCUACGAACAAACAAACAGAACUACAGUGGCUAGCACCCUGUAAAAAGAAAAUUCGCAUCAAACCUAGAUGUAAGCACAUGUGACACACACGCACACAAGAAGACAUGAGGAUUAAGGAAUGGAAAAACCACCAGUUGUAAACCCAGGCAUCAACUUGCAGCACGAUCAACACCUGCAAAUAACAAACCGGAGCACCGGAGCAGGCGUCUUAGACAAAUCAUAAAGAAAAGAAAAAAUGAAAAAAAGAAUCAGGGGAAUAAGCAGAGCAACAUGGGACAAAAAGGGGCCACGUACAAAUCGGACGGUCGAAGAGAAUACUGCUUACUUUUCCUGAAACAUCGUUUUUAGGGAACCUCUGUUAGGCAAGCUGCAACCCCUCAAACCACACAUAACUCACCGUCAGAGAACUUAACUUUUAAUCUUCCUGUAAAGGGGAAAACUUACUAUGUCAGUCUCAUACAUAUAGUGACAACAUGUGAACCCCGACAAAAAAUUGCUGUGACAACAUGUAUGCAUUAUUCUCCAAAUGUACAGAUAGGAAAAGGCGGAGUUCAACAGUGCCUUAAUAGCAUUCAUGGACAUCACAGUUCAUUGGUCAGUGCA